UUUUUUUUUUUUUUUUUUUUUUUUUUGUCUUUUUGCUAUUUCUUGGGCCGCUCGCGUGGCAUAUGGAGGUUCCCAGGUUAGGGGUCCAAUCAGAGCUGUAACCACUGGCCUACGCCAGAGCCACAGCAACUCGGGAUCCGAGCCGCAUCUGCGACCUACGUCACAGCUCAUGGCAACGCCGGAUCGUUAACCCACUGAGCAAGGGCAGGGACUGAACCCGCAGCCUCACGGUUCCUAGUCGGAUUCGUUAACCACUGCGCCACGAAGGGAACUCCAGUCUUUUUAAAAAUAUAAAGAGGAGUUCCCAUUGUGUCUCAGUGGUUAACGAAAUCCAACUAGGAUCCAUGAGGUUGCAAGUUCAAUGGCCUUGCUCAGAGGGUUGGGGAUCCGGCAUUGCCAUGGGCUGUGGUGUAGGUCACAGACAUGGCUCGGAAUCCACGCUGCUGUGGCUGUGGAAUAGGCUGGCGGCUACAGCUCCGAUUCAACCCCUAGCCUGGGCACCUCCAUAUGCUGCAGGUGCAGCCCUAGAAAAAGACAAAAAGACUCAAAAUAAAUAAAUAAAUAAAACUCCCUACAAACAAAAGCCCAGGACCAGAUGACUUGAGAGGUGAAUUCUAACAAACAUACAAAGAACUUGUUACCCAUCCUUCUCAAACUCUUAAAAGAGUGACAAGGAGGGAACAUGUCCAAAGACAUUCUAUGAAGCCACCAUUACUAAUACCAAAAUCAAAGAUACCAUCAAAAAAGAAAAGUAUAGGCCAAUAUGUAUGAUGAAUAGAGAUGCAAAAAAGUCUUAACAUUCUAGCAAACUGAAUCGCACAACACAUUAAAAAUAUACACCACAACCAAGUAGGAUUCAUCCUAAGUUCAGAAGGAUGUCAACACACACAAAAUCAGUGUAAUACACCAUGUUAACAAAAGAAAAGUCAGAAACCAUAUGAUCUUCUCAAUAGAUGCAGAAAAAGCAUUUGACAAAAUUCAACAUCCAUUUAUGAUUAAAAACUCUUACUGAAGUGUGUAUAGAGGGAACAUAUCUCAACAUAAAAGCUAUUUAUGACAAACCCACAGCCAAUAUAAUCCUCAAUGGAGAAAAGCUGAAAGCCUUCCUGCUAAAAUCUGGAACAAGACAAGGAUGCCCACUCUCAUCAUUUUUGUUCAACACAGUAUCAGAAGUCCUUGGCCACAGCAAUCAGGAAAAAUAAAAGUACCCAAAUUGGAAAGGAAGAGGUACAACUCAUUAUAUGCAGAUGACAUACUAUAUAUAGAAAACCCUUAGGGAUUCCACACGGAACUACUAGAUCUCAUAAAGAAAUUCCGUAAAGUAGCAGGAUACAAGAUUAACAUUCAGAAAUCAGUUGUGAGGGAUCUGGACCAAGAAGGCAGAGGAGGAAGACAUGGGGCUCCAUCUUCUCCCACAAACACAUUAAAAAACAAAAAAUCCAACCAUCUAAAUGUAGAAUGAUUAACACAGAACAUCUAGUGAGCCCUGGCAGAAGACCAUAAACCUCCAAAAAGGGCAAGAUACCCUCCCAUUACUGGGUAGAACAAAAGGGGAUAAAAAGAGAAAGGAAUCAGGGACCAGCAUUGCUAAGAGGGAGCUGUGACAGAGGAAAGGAACCCACUCUCUGGGAAGCCACGUAACUGAUGCGAAGAUCAGUUGAGAUGAAGGGAAAAGCACAGCAGCUGGUCUGAGGAGGGCAAAGCAGAGAGAAAGCUGCAAAGACUAUUGGUACCACCGGCCCUGGACACCGCAGCCUGAGACGCAGGCAGGACCUAGGCGCUGAGACUCAGGCUCCAGAGGUCAGUUCCAGGAGAGGCCUAGGGUUGACAGUGUGGAGACAGCCUGAGGGAGCUAGGGAGAGGUGCGCCAAAGGCUGGGGAUCAGUGCACCACAGUUGAGGGAAGCUGGGAUGAGGUCUGGGCCCACAGGAGAAGCAAGGCACCAUUGCUGGGGAGGCCAAGAGGAAGUGGGGCGGGCCACCAUAGGAAUAUCUAUCUCUGCACAGGCAGCAAGGGUGGGCCUGUGGGUGGCGAAGUGCCUCUUAGGGUUAGGGGCGAUGGCUCUUCCUGUUCUGGCUACAGGGGGUGGUGCCUCCUGUGCGGGCUAAGUGAUGGGGCACAUCUUGCAUGGCCUACAGGUGGCAGGGGCAAACCGCCACAGUUAUCUCUGACUCCAGAGGUGGGCGUGGCCCCAGGAGUCCGUGAACAGACACUACCAACGGCCCCCCAUCACCUCCCGAUAUCAGCACAGAGUAUCUCUCGCGGCUCUCAUUCCCCUGGGAACGCACACACCCUGCUGCUACCACUGCCAAAUGCUCUGGUCGCCACCUAAACCUGCCUGUCACUGCCACUUCCCAGGGCCCUGCAACUAGGAGCAGCUGGCACCACCUUCCAGUGGGUCCUUGCUACCUUUGAGGGCCCAGCAACCAGUGCUGGCUACUAGCCCUGUCCAUUGCCUCCAUCUCCCUGGAAGCACAUGCAACAAACACCCUAUCAAGGGGAUAACAGCCUGCACACACUGAGGAAAGACAGCAACAUUCACACCAAAAGCAGCCGUCACACCAAAAAUAAAUUGGAAGCCCUCACAAAAUAUCCAGAGCGUGCUCUUGCAUAAAAACAGACCUCCAAGAUGACAGUAGAUGGUUUCCCUAAACUCACAGAAUGAGAAAAAUACAAGCAAAAUGAAGAACCUCAGGAACCAUUCCCAGUUAAAAGAACAGCAGAAUUCACCUGAAGGAGCAAACAAUGCAACAGACCUCUGCAGCUAACAGACACUGAGUUCAAAAGGGAGAGAGUGAAAAUACUGAAGGAAUUAAGGGCAAAUAUGAAGGAGUUAAGAGAGGAUAUGAACAGUAAUGCGGAUUCCUUUAGAAAGGAACUAGGACAUACAAGGAGGAACCAAGAAAAAGUAGAAAAUUUAUUUGCAGAGAUGCAAAUUGAGUUAAAGAGCAGAAUGAAUAAUGCAGAGGAACAAAUAAGUGACUUGGAAGAUAGAAUAAUGGAAAUCAACCAAUCACGACAGCAGACAGAAAACCAAAUGAAAAAACAUGAAUGUAAUAUAAUAAAUGGGAUAAUAUAAAGCAGGCCAAUCUAUGCAUAAUAGGGUUUCCAGAAGGAAAAGAGCAAGAAAAGGUGAUUGAAAAUAGAUUUGAAGAAAUUAUGGCUGAAAACUUUCCAAAUCUAAAGGAAACAUAUCAAGAUACAGGAAGCACAGAGGGCCCUAGACCAAUUGAACCCUAACAAGCCCACACCAUGACAUGUAAUAAAAAUAGCAAGUUAAAGAGAGACUUCUAAAGGCAGAAAGAGGAAAUCAAAGACUUAAUUAUAAGGGAACCCCCUUAAGGCUAUCAGCUGAUUUCUCUACAGAAAUGCUACAGGCCAGAAGAGAGUGGCAAGAUAUAUUUGAUGUUCUAAAAGGGAAAAAUUCGGGAGUUGCCAUUGUGAUGCAGUGGUAAUGAGCCUGACUGGGAACCAUGAGGUUGUGGGUUCGAUCCUUGGCCUCGUUCAGUGGGUUGAGGAUAUGGCAUUGCUGUGAGCUGUGGUGUAGGUCGCAGAUGCAGCUUGCAUCCCGUGUUGCUGUGGCUGUGGCAAAGGCCAGCAGCUGUAGCUCUGAUUCCAGGGUUCCCUACCCUGCGAACGUCCACAUGCCGUGGGUGCAGCCCUAAAAAGCAAAAUAAAUAAAUAAAAUAAAAGGGAAAAAUUUGCAGCCUAUAAUACUCUACCUGGCAAAAAUAUCAUUUAAAGUAAAAGGAGAAAAAAAGAAUUUCUCCAACGAACAAAAAUUGAAAGAGUACAAGCAAUAUUAAACCCAUUCUAAAAGAAAUACCAAAAGGGCUGCUCUAAAUUAAAAAAAAGUAAGAAAAAAUAGGAUAAAGGAAAUCACAAUUGGAAAGUAAUCACUUAAGCCAUUGUACAGAACUAAAAGAAAAUUUAAAAAACUAUUGUAAAAGUGACAACAAACACAGGAACAGCAAAAGGAUAAACAUGAAGAUGUUAAAAAAAGGACAUCAAAAUCCUAAAAUUUGGGAACCAAAGUAAGUAAAUCUAGACAAUUUUCUAAAAUGUGUUUGAGCCUAUAUGACUAUCAGUUAAAAAAAGCAGAUAUAGGAAGGGGUCAAGACACUUGAAAAACAGGGCAACCACAAAUCAAAACUAAACAAUAUAUUCACAAAAACUAAAAAGAAGAGGAUACAAGCAUAAAACAAAAGGAAAUCAUCCAAUCAAAAAAGAAAGGAACAAAGAAACAGAGUCAACUGGAAAGCAAAGUUUAAAAUAGCAAUAAAUACAUAUUUAUCAAUAAUUAGCGCAAGUGUCAAUGGACCGAAUGCUCCAAUCAAAACACAUAGAGUGGCAGACUGGAUAGAAACAGCAAGGGACUCUUCCCUACAAGAGACUCACCUUAGUGUAGAGGAUACAUAUAAAUUGAAAGUGAGGGGAUGAAAAAAGAUAUUUCAUACAAAUGGAAAAUACAGGAAAGCAGGACUUCAAUACUCAUAUCAGACCAAAGAGACUUUAAAACAAAGGCCAUAAAGAAAGACAAAGAAGGGAGUUUCCGUCGUGGCUCAGUGGUUAAUAAAUCUAACUAGGAACCAUGAGGUUUCGGGUUCGAUCCCUGGCCUCAUUCAGUGGGUUAAGAUCUGGCGUUGCUGUGAGCUGUGGUGUACAUUGCAAACGUGGCUCAGGUCUGUCAUUGCUCUGGCUCUGAUGUAGGCUGGUGGCUACAGCUCCAACUGAACCCCUAACCUGGAAACCUCCAUAUGCCACAGGUG
rnacentral:lncRNA from 1 species